rnacentral:lncRNA from 1 species
GGGGACCCCUAGCCAGGCAGUCAGCCCAUUUUGCAUGCCCCAAAAAUGAGACACAAAAAUAACUGACUUUCUACCAACGUGGGACCACAUGCUUGUGGUGGGGAGCAAUGACUGGGUAAUUUCAUGAGGAAUGAAGACCAUACUCAGGGAAAAGAAUCUGAAAGAUGAAAGCAUUUUCUACAGGAAAGGCAGAGUCAGAAAAGAAAAGCAUGCUUUCCAAAGAUGGCUACCUUUAAUGGUGUACAGAAAAUGUGAACCAAGUGAACCGUACUGACUGAAGGCAAGCAGUGCCCUUUUUUUCUUUUAAACUUAAUCUUAUGAAUGCAAAGUCAGAUUCAUGGUUUGCUGACAUCUGUUUUCCAAUUGUUCUG